GAUGAAGAACGCAGCGAAAUGCGAUAAGUAAUGUGAAUUGCAGAAUUCAGUGAAUCAUCGAAUCUUUGAACGCACAUUGCGCCCGCCAGUAUUCUGGCGGGCAUGCCUGUUCGAGCGUCAUUACAACCCUCAGGCCCCCGGGCCUGGCGUUGGGGAUCGGCGGAAGCCCCCUGCGGGCACAACGCCGUCCCCCAAAUACAGUGGCGGUCCCGCCGCAGCUUCCAUUGCGUAGUAGCUAACACCUCGCAACUGGAGAGCGGCGCGGCCACGCCGUAAAACACCCAACUUCUGAAUGUUGACCUCGAAUCAGGUAGGAAUACCCUCUGAACUUAAGCAUAUCAAUAAGCGGAGGA
rnacentral:misc_RNA from 1 species